rnacentral:rRNA from 1 species
CGGACGGGUGAGUAAUGCUUGGGAAUCUGGCUCAUGGAGGGGGAUAACUACGGGAAACUGUAGCUAAUACCGCGUAGUAUCGGAAGAUGAAAGUGUGGGACCGCAAGGCCACAUGCCAUGAGAUGAGCCCAAGUGGGAUUAGGUAGUUGGUUAGGUAAAGGCUGACCAAGCCGACGAUCUCUAGCUGGUCUGAGAGGAUGACCAGCCACACUGGAACUGAGACACGGUCCAGACUCCUACGGGAGGCAGCAGUGGGGAAUAUUGCACAAUGGGGGAAACCCUGAUGCAGCCAUGCCGCGUGAAUGAAGAAGGCCUUCGGGUUGUAAAGUUCUUUCGGUGAUGAGGAAGGUGUUUGUUUUAAUAGGACAAGCAAUUGACGUUAGUCACAGAAGAAGCACCGGCUAACUCCGUGCCAGCAGCCGCGGUAAUACGGAGGGUGCGAGCGUUAAUCGGAAUAACUGGGCGUAAAGGGCACGCAGGCGGUGACUUAAGUGAGAUGUGAAAGCCCCGAGCUUAACUUGGGAAUUGCAUUUCAUACUGGGUCGCUAGAGUACUUUAGGGAGGGGUAGAAUUCCACGUGUAGCGGUGAAAUGCGUAGAGAUGUGGAGGAAUACCGAAGGCGAAGGCAGCCCCUUGGGAAUGUACUGACGCUCAUGUGCGAAAGCGUGGGGAGCAAACAGGAUUAGAUACCCUGGUAGUCCACGCUGUAAACGCUGUCGAUUUGGGGAUUGGGCUUAGAGCUUGGUGCCCGUAGCUAACGUGAUAAAUCGACCGCCUGGGGAGUACGGCCGCAAGGUUAA